rnacentral:rRNA from 1 species
UACAGAGGUCUCAAGCGUUGUUCGGAUUCAUUGGGCGUAAAGGGCGCGUAGGUGGUCUGGUAAGCGUGCGGUGAAAUCGCGGGGCUCAACCCCGCGCCGGCCGUGCGAACUGCUGGACUGGAGCACUGUAGAGGCGGGUGGAAUUCCGGGUGUAGCGGUGGAAUGCGUAGAGAUCCGGAAGAACACCGGUGGCGAAGGCGGCCCGCUGGGCAGUGGCUGACACUGAGGCGCGACAGCGUGGGGAGCAAACAGG